rnacentral:misc_RNA from 1 species
GAUGAAGAACGUAGCGAAAUGCGAUAAGUAAUGUGAAUUGCAGAAUUCAGUGAAUCAUCGAAUCUUUGAACGCACCUUGCACUCCUUGGUAUUCCGAGGAGUACGCCUGUUCGAGUGUUAUGAAGCUCUCAAAACGCAAUUGGCUUAAAACCUGAUUGUUGUUUUGGAUUUGAACUUUGCCGUGUUAUAACGGCUGGUUUUAAAAGUAUUAGCUGGUACUAGAACGAAUUGGUUAUACUCAACGUGAUAAUUAUCUGAUCGUUGAGGACAUUCCUUUCACGAGGAAUGGCCAUAGUAAAUUCAAUGGACUGCUUCUAAUCUGGCUUUAAUUCUUUAUUGGAUUAACCACUUUUCAAAUCUGACCUCGAAUCAGGUGGGACUACCCGCUGAACUUAAGCAUAUCAAUAAGCGGAGGA